rnacentral:rRNA from 1 species
AUGAACGCUAGCGACAGGCCUAACACAUGCAAGUCAGGGGCAGCACAAGGAGCAAUCUGAGGUGGCGACCGGCGGCACGGGUGAGUAACACGUAUGCAACCUGCCUGUAAGCGGGGAAUAACCCGUUGAAAGACGGACUAAUACCGCAUAAUACUAAAUUACUGCAUGGUAAUUUAUUUAAACAUUUAUGGCUUACAGAUGGGCAUGCGCAUGAUUAGCUAGUUGGAGAGGUAACGGCUCCCCAAGGCAACGAUCAUUAGGGGUUCUGAGAGGAAGGUCCCCCACACUGGUACUGAGACACUGACCAGACUCCUACGGGAGGCAGCAGUGAGGAAUAUUGGUCAAUGGACGAGAGUCUGAACCAGCCAAGUCGCGUGCAGGAAGAAUGUCCUUAAUGGAUUGUAAACUGCUUUUGCAGGGGGAAUAAAGUGCAUCACGUGUGAUGUUUUGUAUGUACUCUGCGAAUAAGGAUCGGCUAACUCCGUGCCAGCCGCAGC